rnacentral:misc_RNA from 1 species
AAGUCGUAACAAGGUUUCCGUAGGUGAACCUGCGGAAGGAUCAUUAAUACGCUUUUGUUUGUAACAAAACAAAACGUUUUAAACCCCAAAAUUGAAAUAGUGGAAAUAUAACUUCCGGAUGCGAAUGUUGGGGAACUGAGUAAAAUCGGUUCUUUGAAAAAGGGACUUCAAGCAAUUGACACUUCAGAGUAGAGCAGUGAGGUGAAACUCGAAAGAGUUUGGUUCUGAAAAACAUUUGUAUCCGGUUAUCAAAUCUGUUCUAACAAAAUAUCAAACAAUAAACCCCAUGUUCAACAACUUGAACUAAACAUUUUUUUGUUUGUCUGCUUCGCAGCAAAGAAAAAACCUGAACUUAAGAACAACUCUUAACAACGGAUAUCUUGGUUCUC